GUUUCCGCUCGGGGCCGCUCGGGGCCAUGGCCGCGCGUGCCGCGCUGCGCCAGACCGCCCGCCUGGCCUCCUCAGGCGCCCUGCUGCAGGUGCUGUUCCGGGCGGCCGCCUUCGGGCUGAACGCCCUGACGCUGCGCCGCCUCUCCAGGGAGCUCGUCGGCGUCGUCGGCGUGAGGCUGACUCUGCUCUAUUCCACGGCCGUCUUCCUGGCCAGGGAGGCGUUCCGCAGGGCCUGCUUGAGCGGCGGCGCGGAGCGGAGCUGGGCCGCGACCAUCAACCUGCUGUGGCUGACAGUCCCUCUUGGUGUUUUUUGGUCUGUUUCCUUGGGCUUCGUCUGGCUGCACUUCCUUGAAGUUCCUGAUCCAUCAGCAGUUCCUCAUUACGGGGCCGCUGUUGUGGCGUUUGGCCUUUCUGCGGUUGUUGAGCUUCUAGGAGAACCGUUCUGGGUUUUAGCCCAGGCUCACUUGUUUGUAAGACUUAAGGUAAUUGCUGAAAGCCUUUCCGUAGUGUCAAAAUGCUUUCUGACAGUUGUUCUAGUCAUCCUUUAUCCACAGUGGGGCCUCUACAUUUUUUCCUUGGCUCAGCUUUUAUACACCAGUGUUCUGGUAAUGUGCUACGUGGUUUAUUUUGCCAAGUUCUUGGGAUCUCCUGAAGCAGCAAAGAAGUCCUUUCCAAUCCCAACAAUGAAAGCUCUGUUACCGAACUUGAUGGAAGCUCAGCCUUUCCUUAACUGGAAGGAAGCGCGGCUGACUUGGAGCUUCUUCAAGCAAUCCUUCCUGAAGCAGAUUUUGACAGAGGGUGAGCGAUACGUGAUGACUUUUCUGAACGUGAUCGAUUUUGGCGAUCAGGGUGUGUAUGAUACCGUGAACAAUCUGGGUUCUCUGGUGGCCAGGUUCAUCUUUUUGCCUAUUGAAGAGAGCUUUUAUGUCUUUUUCGCUCAAGUGUUGGAAAGAGGAAAGAACGUAAAGGAUCAGAAGCAGGAUGACAUUGCUCUGGCUGCAGACGUGUUGGAGUUGCUGUUGAAGCUGGUGCUUCUGAUCGGCCUUACCAUUGCUGUUUUUGGCUAUGCCUUUUCUCAGCUGGCUCUGGAUAUUUAUGGAGGUUCAAUGCUCAGCUCUGGAACAGGUCCAGACCUUCUGCGGUGCUACUCUUUGUAUGUCCUAUUUCUUGCUGUCAAUGGAGUAACAGAAUGUUUCACGUUUGCUCUGAUGUGCAAAGAGGAGGUGGACAGAUACAACUUUGUUAUGCUGGCCUUGUCCUUCGUGUUCCUGUGCAGCUCUUACUUCUUGACCCGCUGGCGUGGAAGCGUUGGCUUUAUCCUUGCCAACUGCUUUAAUAUGGGUAUUCGCAUUGCUCACAGCAUCCAUUAUAUCUAUGGUUACUUCAAGGAAAGCUCCUACAGGCCUUUGACAGGCUUGCUUCCCUCACCAUUCUUAAUACUGGCUUAUGUCAUAAGCGGAGGAAUUACUGUUUACUCAGAGGCACUGUUCUGCUGCGACAAGGGCUGGACGGCAAGGCUGAUUCACAUCGGCAUUGGGGCGCUGUGCUUUGCAGCUACCACCAUCACCAUGUUCUGCACGGAGACCAAGCUGGUCCGCUUUGUCAGAAGCCAGUUUCUCUCCCAGUAUAUGAAGAAAGGAACAUGAAAUGCUCGUGGGCAGAAUGGUUCUUGUACAUGGUUGCAGUUGCAGAGGGUUGUAUUUUUUGCACAGGUCUGCAUGGAGAAAGGUUUCCACGUGAAUUUGUUGGAAGUAUUGGUAGUGACAGUAUAAAUGGUUGCUGACUAAGCUAGUCCACACAGAUGAAGAGAGCCGAGUAAUUUUCUCUUCCUGCAUCAUUCUAUUUGAGCUUUUCUUCCAACGGCCUCUUUGGUGAUGAAGGUCUGUAAUGCACCUGAUGUAAUGCCUGAUGUAAACCGAUGCCAGAGUUACUGUGGGGAGCUCCCUUCUUACCGGUAGGGAGUCCACAUGUGAAGGCGUUGUACGGCUUAACUAAGGUGUAACUAAGAAUGCCCUUAUUGAGCAUGGUGGGCUGUUGAAACUGUUAGAGAAGAAAUAUUUUGACAUUGAAAAGCGAAACCCCGAACCAAAACCUGAAGCAAGGGACCAAUCACAACGUAACAGCUACCAGAAGAGAACUUAAUGCAGUGCAGGAAAACUGCGUGAUGAGUGGCCUGAAGUGUAAAGCACUGAGCAGACAGUUCUGACACUUGCAGGGAAGCUACUGGAAUACAUUGCACGUGUCCAAGCCCAAGGUGGCUGUGUCAGUUUACUUCCUUCUGCAUCAUUCCUGUAAUGAGAGCGUUGACCAGCCUGUCAAAAAUACUCUGAAGCUUUUAUUUGAACAGAAAUGCAGUGGGUUUUUGAGCAAUGCCUAACAACAGCUGUGACCUACAGUCACAUCAAAGCUGAAGUUCCAGAAGAAAUGAUAGGCGAGAGAGACUGCAUGUCGGUCAUGAAAUAUUAGAUGGAGACAUCCCUGUAUGGCCAACAAGCUUCACGAAGGAAGAGUUAAAUGAGCUUCACAGCCCUUAAGAGAAAACAAAUAGAAAUGUAAGUUGGAGCGAUUCACGUCCACUUUGAGCAGGUCAGGACAUCCAACUAUUGUUAAUGUUUGACACUGCAAUUAAUAAGGCAUGGUUUAAUGCCGGAUUUCAGUUUUUGGUAAAUCACUUGACCAUCAACAAGAAAGAAUGUUUCCAAAUAUCCAAACGUCAGUCAGUUUCUGUGCCAUGUGCUGUCAUUCCACGUUCUUGUCUUUGUGCAGGUUAUGGCAGUGUGCGAUGACUGCCAGAGAGGUAUCACCCAGCUGAACACAAGCAGGCAUGCCAAACGAGUAGGGAUGUGUGAGAACAUCACGCGCGAAGCAAAUGUUUGUGUUGCUACAGAGCAAGCCAGCCUGGAGCCUGUGAGGGCUCAUUUAUGAGGCAUCCGACAGCAAUCGGCACCAGAUCAUUCAUAAUGUCUUUGCAGUGUUCAGGACCAGGGUAAAUGACAAUUCUGCAAGUUUCUGGUUUUGCCCUCUCAUCCCAGCGGUUUGGAUCAGUGCUCUGAGGACGUGGACACAGGAACUUGAAGAUGAGUUUCACUUUUAAUGUCUUCGUUUGGACACCAAGCAAAUUUAGGCUGAGAUGCCUUAGGAUGAUAUUUGCUCUUCUUUAUUUAAAUUCAAAGAGUUUAUCACUACAGAAACAUUUCAGAUGCUUAUUGUGGGAAGCUCAUGGAAACGUGCUUUGUUAAAUAAUGUAUUUUCUAUUUUGUUUUGUUUUCUCCUUUUCUUUUGUGUUACAGAAUGAAUGUAAAAGCUUUAAAACCUGGUAUUCACCACUCUGCAGUAGAUUUAAUAGAGUGGCAUUGUAUGAAGAGAUGCCAUGGUAACUGAAGUUGCUAAGACAGUUGGUGUCAAGCUUUUUAAUGGUGACUGCUAUACUAUAUUUGGCUUUGAUUACCACAGUCUGAAUAGCAAAUGGAAAAUGUUUACUGGUCUCAUUUGCUACCACCUACAGUCCAGAAGUAAUGAGAUGACUGAAUUCAGUGUUGCACCAACUGCCAGCCACUGGCCACCAGGAUUGUUCUUUGCAGCACUCCCCUCUCCCACUGGAUCUCAUGGCAUCCUUGUCACAGCCUUAGCAUUUGUGCUGUCCAGUUUGGUGAUAUGCCACUUGUCUGAAUGAAAUUUGGCACCUGGAGCCAGUAAAGGAGUCUGCACUUUGUGAGCUGGUGAAAAGUCAGCAAAGUCCUUUCCACAGGAAACUGUUCUUUGAAUCUGUGAGUGGAGUGAAAGCAGAAUAAAACGGAAACAUAUGCAGUUUUUUUCUCAUGCGUGGGUUAGGUGUACCAAUCUCCCUUGCUGUAAAGCUUUAUAGAUCCUGCUAUCAACCAUUUUCACAAAAAUGAUGCUUUUCUGUGUCUCUUCAAUUUCUGUUUACUUUUUAAAUGCCAGAAUAAAAAGUGAAGUCACAUCGCCAAAGUGCCAUUUUAUCAUUUAGCUCACUGUGACACAAAUGAUUUACCUGUACACUGAAAUAUUACCAUUAAUUAUAGUGAAGCUCCUUGCCAAAACAUGCGAUAGCAGUUCCAAAACGUUACUCUUUACCUUUAAAUCCAGAACUCAACUUGCAGCCAUUAGUAGUAGCCUCAUGCUGUUAACAUGAGAUUGGACUGCUUUACUUAAAAGGAAACAGUCACAGAGCAGGGAAUGAAAUGCUUCUUGAAUGAGAUGAACAAUCCUGUCCACAACGGUUGUAGACUAUUGGGAAACUCAGUAGGCAGCUGACAGGCACAACUUGGGUAGGCAGAGCUUAAGGGUGAGUGCAGCUCAGCUCAGAACAGCCUUCUGUCGUUCCGUCUUGCAGUUGGGAAGAUAUAAACAAAGAAGUGUGAUGAGAAGAAACUGGAGGGAAAGGAAAGAUUAAAUCAAUAGUAGGGAAAAAGUUUUAACAAUGUGAUUCUUCAGAUAGAAAGCUAGUCUCAAAAGACCCAUCACUUGACACAUGAAAAAUUGAUUGGAGAAAGCAGUAGCAAAUAGUUUUCCAGGAAAAAUGUUGUAUUGACAGGAGGAUGGAUAAGAUGAUCACAGUUCAUUUAAUUAAGUUACAUCCAACAGCAUCAUGGAGUGGGUGAUUAUAUGGGAGGUUUCACGUGGUUUGGAAUGGUGUGGAUUUUGAACAAACCAGUCAGUAGGUAGCAACAUUGCUUUGGAGAUCAGCAGAUGAAGAAAAAAGCUUCAGCUGAAAGGGCACAGUUUUGACUGAAAAAAUUCAUAUUCCUUAAAGAUUGUCUGGUUUAGAAUACUGACCUCAAAUCUCAUUGUCAGUGGAUGUUUUCAUCAGCGGCUGUAUUUCUACUGCUAAAAUGCAACACAACAAAUUCAUUCCUAGGCUCAAUUUGUUCAAGUCAACAAAGUUUUUGUCACACCACUGUUAAACCUGAGAUGCCUCAAAUAAAGAGUAUAACUUGGCUUGCAAACAGCACAAAGGAUCAAUGUCAUCCAUGCUAUGGAGAAAACAGGUAAUACUAAACUAGAUGAGCUUGACACGGAUUCAAAAGGCGUCUUCUAAAACCUAAUUUUUGUUGAAUUCUUUGUUUCCUACAUUCUAGUAAUUUUGUUGACUAAAUUAUGUGUUUAAAUUCCUACAGCAUUUGGGUUCCUAUGAUUAUUCAUUUGUAAGGCUGCGAAUGCUUAUUAAUGGCUCCUGGCUUGAGAAUGAGCGUUUAUGCUUCCAAAGCACUGCACAUGACUAAUUUGUUUUUCUGCUUAUUCGAAAGCAACAGGGGUUGUCAAGAAGCCAAAUCUACACUGAAUUAAAACCACGUUGCUUUGCUUCCAUGGAAGAGAGGAUACUUGGUUGUUGUAAAAAAAAGUCACACUUCAGUUGAGCAUCAGUUCAUCACCGAACUUACAGAGCGGAGCAAUCGUAGAGGCUGGAGCAAUGUGAUGCUGAGGUGAUCCAGAGUUCCUAACUCCAUGCAGAGCAGCCCCAUCCCUGAGCAACCACCAGGCAGGAUGAGGCAAUGAGAGAGUUAAAUCCACGCCCUCCAGAACAUGCUUUGCAGUUAAGAAAUCCAGAGACACUUGCUCUGAAGCUCUGAUGCUCUCCCCAUGCCAUGGUGCCCACUGCGUUCUCCAGGCGCCGCUCUGGGCUCGGCCUCCUUUAUUACCGCGCUGCAGACGCCCCACGGCCUCGUGUGAUGCUUCCCACCUGCUGCACGCAAUGGUUCAGCACUGAAGCACACAGCAACACCGAUGAGAUCCUUCCUAGACUCAUAACUCCCGGCAGGACGGGUUUCCUCUUAUGGCUGCAGGAUUGUUUCCGUGCUGUAAGCGGCGCAGCUGAAGGAGAGGCGAUGAAUGGCGGUGCUGUUAAAUCCACUCUACUUGUCUGCUAGCUUGCUGUCUCUGUUUCCUCGUGGCAGGUAAACUGAGAUCUUCAGAGCUUACCACAGAGGUAUUUAGAGACUGCAAAUGGGGACACGUUAAAUCAGCCACACCUGUGCUUCCUUUGGGUUAUUUGAUUGUUUCCUGCAGCUUGGGGAGCAUCUUCCCACCACACAGAACCCUCAGCAGUGGUCUGGAUGAGCUUAAGCUUUCUUUACAGCCUUCUCUACAUAUAUGGGGCAGUGAUUUCCACCUAUCCAGCCAUGAGCUCCCUGCAGCAAACAGAAGCGUUGUGGGAGGAUGCAUUUGUUCACGGCUUGUUUUGGGUCACUUGUCUGUCUUGUCUCUACCAGUGUGCCGUCCUGGAAUUACCUGCACUACGUGACUGCAGAAAUGCCUACUGUAGCACUGGUCAUGCUACUCCGAGUAUUUUCUGAGAGUUUUUGGCUGUGCCAUUGUGCCUUGAAUACAGCCCUGGCCCAGAACAAGGGUUUUAGGCACAGUGCCAUCACAAAAUGAGCAUCUUCUGAGAUGCAGUGGCUGCACAGUACAAAGCCGUGCACCGGAGCUGCAGCCAAGUCAUCGUUUGCCCUCCUCUGGUCCUCUGAAGUCCAACACCACCAGUUUCAGAGGGCCACAGCAGGGAACACCUCCCUCUAUAAAUCCAAUGGAAGAUGACACCUGUGAACUCAGCUGAGCUGUGUGCCUGGUGAGUGGCAGAAGAAGACACCCACAGUCAUUGACUUCCUGCCAGCGGUGUCCUUCAGUGGGGAAAAGCUGAUGGUUCACACACUGUGCUGAAGGGACACCUGUUGGUUUUCUUCCCUGCUGUCUAUCGGGGUGCAUUGGGAUUCCCUCCAAGUGCAGCAACAGCAGCUCACAGAGAGCCAAUGGGAAGGUGGUGGUUGGGAUCUGCUUCUUCAACAAGGAAUGCUGUGGUUUGUUCUUUGUUUAUUUUCUUUGUUAACAUCCUCAAAAGGGCAACCAAGAGCUAGGAGUUGUAUUUUGUUCUGCUGAAGUAAAUGCACUUAUGCUCCGUGACUCAAAUUCUGCUGACUGCUUAAAUGGCUUUAUGUUCUAAUUAGUCAAAUGUAACGAAUGGGUUGUUGAAUAUGCAGCUUAUCCUUCUGCUCUGACUUAUUUCUGCAGUAUGUGGCAAACCUUACAAAUAAUUCUGUAACUCUCCAACAUCAAAUUGCUACAGACAAACGUUGCUGUGCAGCCUUUUGGUGUGUAAGCUUGGGCAGGACCUGUUUAAAGGCAAAACUGCUCUGACUUCCUCUGCGUCUGUCAAAACCCGAGCUCCACACUGCACAAGUUGCAAGUGACAAAAGCACGGGGAGAAACACAGCGCAGUGCUGUGCUCUGGUUCAGCUAGAAGUGAUUAACAGUUUGCGAGUCACACUGACUGCUGUGAAGCUCGAGUGAUAUUUCAGCAUUAAAACCCCUCCCACUCACCACCACCACCAAAAAAAAAAACAAAAAACACCACGCUCUUUUGCUAUCCACAACCCUCAGCCCGCAGCGCCCCAGCUACGCCGUCCCCUCGCACAGCCCGCACUGGGCUGCCGGCCCAGCACCCGCAGCUGCCCUGUCGGGGCCGCAGCUGCAGG